rnacentral:rRNA from 1 species
UACAGAGGUCUCAAGCGUUGUUCGGAUUCAUUGGGCGUAAAGGGUGCGUAGGCGGCGCGGUAAGUCGGGUGUGAAAUCUCGGAGCUUAACUCCGAAACUGCAUUCGAUACUGCCGUGCUUGAGGACUGGAGAGGAGACUGGAAUUUACGGUGUAGCGGUGAAAAUGCGUAGAUAUCGUAAGGAAGACCAGUGGCGAAAGGCGGGGUCUCUGGG